CAAUAGCGUAUAUUAAAGUUGUUGCAGUUAAAAAGCUCGUAGUUGGAUUUCUGGUAUAAUGCGCCUGGCCCGCUCCGUUUCGGAGUGAGUGCCGGUGCGCGUUUGCCAUCCUUCUAGAAAACGUUUCUACCCUUCGCUGGGCCGGAUUCGCGAUCUAGAUCUUUUACUUUGAAAAAAUUAGAGUGUUUAAAGCAGGCUUUUGCUAUGAAUACAUUAGCAUGGAAUAAUAAUCUAGGACUUCGGUUCUAUUUUGUUGGUUUCUAGUACUGAAGUAAUGAUUGAUAGGGAUAGUUGGGGGUGCUAGUAUUGACCGGCCAGAGGUGAAAUUCUUGGAUUCGGUCAAGACUAACUUAUGCGAAAGCAUUCACCAAGGAUGUCUUCUUUAA
rnacentral:rRNA from 1 species